AGCACCCCGACGAGGGGAGUGAAACAGUACCUGAAACCGAACGCCUACAAUCAGUUGGAGGCCCCUUGAGGGCUGACAGCGUACCUUUUGUAUAAUGGGUCAUCGACUUGGUCUAUCUAGCAAGCUUAAGCCGUUAGGUGUAGGCGCAGCGAAAGCGAGUCUGAAUAGGGCGCAUGAGUUAGAUGGAUCAGACCCGAAACCGAGUGAUCUAGGCAUGGCCAGGUUGAAGGUUGGGUAACACCAACUGGAGGACCGAACCCACAUCCGUUGAAAAGGAUCGGGAUGAGCUGUGCCUAGGGGUGAAAGGCCAAUCAAACUCGGAGAUAGCUGGUUCUCUGCGAAAUCUAUUUAGGUAGAGCGUCAUCCGAAUACCCUCGGGGGUAGAGCACUGGAUGGGUAAUGGGGCCCCACAGGCUUACUGAUCCUAACCAAACUCCGAAUACCGGGGAGUACUAGAUGGCAGACACACAGCGGAUGCUAACGUCCGUUGUGGAGAGGGAAACAACCCUGACCUACAGCUAAGGCCCCCAAUUCAUGGCUAAGUGGGAAAGCAGGUGGGACGACCAAAACAACCAGGAGGUUGGCUUAGAAGCAGCCA
rnacentral:rRNA from 1 species